GCCUUGUACACACCGCCCGUCAAGCGAUGAGAGUUGGGAGUACCCGAAGUCCUGUGUAGGCAGGCCGAAGGUAAAACCAAUGAUUGGCGCUAAGUCGUAACAAGGUAGCCGUACGGGAACGUGCGGCUGGAUCACCUCCUUU
rnacentral:rRNA from 1 species